CCUUCCCCUCACAGUUCCCGCCCUUUCUCUGACCCCGCCCCUUCCAUUCAUUGGUCUCGCCCCCUUUCCUUCUCCAAGCCCCGCCCAUCUCAUGGCGCGUUCACCCCCGCGCAUGCGCAGAACAUUUGGAUGUAGCCUCAGCGGGCGCCGCCAUCUUUGCUGCCUGUCUGCCAGCCCGGUUUCAGCAUGUCCGAGACCUACGAUUUCCUCUUCAAGUUCCUGGUGAUCGGCAAGUGCUGCCUGCUGCACCACUUCAUGGAGAGCAAGUUUAGCCACAACCGUACGGAAGAUCUCGGGAUGUACGAGGAGGCAGGGCCCCUCCCUCUCCGUUGAGUUGCUAAGUUACGUAACUGUAAAAGAAGUCACGUGGGUACGUCGCAGUUAUAUAAGCAGGUGCCCACAGGAAAUAAACCGCAUUUCGCCAUUCAUCAUAUUGGUGUGAUGUGCGAUUUGUCCGGUAAGGUAGUAAGUGCGCCAUGGUCCCAAUCCUAACCAGGUCGCACUAGCCUGAGCCCUUAGGCAACAUAGCGGCACCGAAACCCGGUCUGCUCCCCGGCACACGGGUCUGAGCGGCGGGCGACGGGAAGCACGCUGGCAGACGGGACGACCGAGGCAGCUGGCUCACCCCGGUGGGGAGGACGCUCCCAGUACUGCCGAGAUGGAAACGCUCGGGAAGUUACUGUCAUUCCCAGAAUCCUGUACUAUACUGAUGAAGAAAUUCUUCACCAAUUCGAGAGGAAUCCUCUGCGUCAAAAACGAGAACUAAUUACAGCCAUCAGCCUCACACUGCUGUUGGGCCUAGGAGCUACGGGUACAGCAACAGGCGCGUCAGCGCUAGUGACACAGAACCAAGGCCUGAGCCAGCUACAGAUAACUGUGGAAAAGAACUUGCUUAAAAUCCAAAAGUCCAUCUCUGACCUCGAAUGUUCCCUCAACUCACUUGUGAAAGUCCUGCUACAGAACAGAUGCAGACUGGAUCUCCUGCUCCUACGACCAGUUGUUACCAUUGUUCUUAUGCUUAUAUUUGGUCCCUGCAUCCUUAAUAAGUUAACCCAGUUUGUUAAAGCUCGUUUUAAGCUGAAAUAGCUCAGUUGGAAGAGCAUUUGUUCACUAACAUGUUUAAAAAUUUUUACUUAAAUCUAAAAUCUAAAGGUCUGUCCUGGGUUGAUGUUUUGACUGGCUCCUCACCCUGCCCCCCUUGGCCAUGAAGCUGUCUGCUCCCGGGGGAGGGGCCGCCGGGGCUGCUCGCUUGGCUCUGGCUGCUGCUGCUUGUGGCUAUCGCUGCUGUGGUAGUAGUUCGUUGCCUGGUUUGUUAGUUAGCUGUUUUUUUGCUUGAUUUUUUGGCUUUAUAUUGCUUGAAUUAUUUGGUUUAGCUCGCUGCUGUUUAAGGCUUGCUGGCUAUUCCGGCUGUUUUUUUUUUCCUUUCUCUCUCUCUCCCUCUCCCUUCCCCCGCCCUCACCUCCCGAGGAUCAGCACCAGCUCUGGAGGAACCCUGCGGCCUGCCUCUGGACACCGGCCAGAGAAGUGUCUCGUCCUUCUAGUGAAGAUCGAAUCGUCCACGUCUCUCUCUCGGUGAAAAUUUUUUUUUGUCUUCUGGAUCUGUGAAGUGUUUCUCUUGUAUGUGUUAAUAAAUAGGUUUUUUCCACUUUUCCCCCUGAGUGAAAUAUUUUUUUCUUAAGUCCAGUGGGAUAAAGAAUUGGGGGUUUAUUCCCUGGGGAGCUCUUCUGGGGGUUUUUUCCCCUAAGUUUGUCCAAACUAGGACAAGGUCCCUGGUCAAAUUGAUAUUUUGCUUUUGCAGCAAAGGCAGCUAACUUAAACUAACCACAAAGUUUGUUUCAUUUACUAACAAUUUAGUUUAUUUGCAUGUUGUUAACAAGUUGUUUUUUCAAGUUGCAGUUGUUGUGUUUGUAUAAGUUAAAGUUAAUUGUUCAUGGAGAGGGGGGAAAUGCAGUUAGCCACAACCGUACGGAAGAUCUCGGGAUGUACGAGGAGGCAGGGCCCCUCCCUCUCCGUUGAGUUGCUAAGUUACGUAACUGUAAAAGAAGUCACGUGGGUACGUCGCGGUUAUAUAAGCAGGUGCCCACAGGAAAUAAACCGCAUUUCGCCAUUCAUCAUAUUGGUGUGAUGUGCGAUUUGUCCGGUAAGGUAGUAAGUGCGCCAUGGUCCCGAUCCUAACCAGGUCGCACUAGCCUGAGCUUGUAGGCAACAGAGACAGAGACAGGCACCAGAACCACCACCAGCACCAGAAUGGAGACUGAGACCAAGACUGGGAACAGAACCAACACUAGAAUUCAGACUAGCACCACUCCAGAACUGGAACAGACUAGGACUGAGACCAAGACUGAGACUGAAACCAGUCCCAGAACUGGCACUAGGACCAAGACUGAGAUCAGCACUGGGACGGGCACCAGGAGAGUUCCAGGACUGCUCUGGAACUGGCACUGGGAGAACUCCAGGACUGAGACUGAGAGCAGCACCAGAACCAGGACCAAGAUGCACCGGUACAAAAACCCAAACUGGCACCACUCCCAGACUGAGACUGAGAUUGGCACUGGGAGCACUCUUGGACCAACACCAGCACCAGUACCAGCACUGGGACUGGGACCGCUCUAAAACCGAGACCAAGACUUCUUGCAUCUAAGAUGUUACCUGGGGUAAAUCAACAGGAAAGACCUUUGCAGGGUUUUACAGAGAUAUUUACUCCAGACACGCAUCGAUCCAGGGUUCGGUGAACAAAGGGCGGGACUUUCGUGAGGGUCCAGGUUUAAUACAUGGGAUAAUUAGGGUGGGGAGAGCAUCAGGGACCAAUUAUUAGAUGACAUGGGGGUAGCACAAGGGAGGGGCCAGGCCAGAGGACUGGCACAGGGUUAACUCAGGGAACAGAACAUGGGCUGCAUUCCUUACUUGGGAAAAUCUCUCUGGGUUUCCACAAAGACCGUGAGUCCAAGACUGAAAACAGAACCAGCACCAGCACCAAGACUGGCACUGGAUCCAGACUGAGACCAGCACUGUGGAAGCUGAGACAGAGAGUGCUGUGGAUUUAAUUGGCAUUUGCAGUUUGAUAACCGGGACGCCCUGGCAAGAACAAACAGAGCUUUGAUGAUUAAAAGAAGGCAAAAGGAAAGAAGAUUGAUCUAAAUAAGGAGAAAUGUAAAGUUUGUCUGGGUGAUGUUUAAGCCAAUGAAUGUAGUAAAAAAUGACUGCCUUCCAAAAAUUGGUGUAUAAGUAAAUGUAGCUCACAAUAAAUUUGGAUACUGAUCAUGAGUCAGUAGUCCCUGUCUCUCAGUCGUUGACAAAAUUCCCUGGGACCGGCACCGAGACCAGCAUCAGAACCAGGAUGGAUAUCAGGACUGGGACCAGAACCAACAGUGGAACUGAGAGUGGCACCUCUUCAAGACGGGCACAGGGACUCGGACUGAGACAGAAACUGUCCCCAGACUGGCACUGGGACCAAGACUGAGACAACGACGGACACUGGGAUCAGCACUGGGAAUGCUCCAGGACUGCUCUGGGACUGGCACCGGCACAGGGAGACCUCCGGAACUAAGACUGAGAGCGGCACAGCACCAGAACUGAGACUGGCACCACUCCAGAACCGGGCCUGAGACUGACAUUGGCACUGGGAGCACUCUGGGAUCAACACUGGCACCAACACCACCACUGGGACUGAAACCAUUCCAAAACCAAGACUGAGACUGAAACCAGAAACAGCACUGGCACCGAGACUGGCAUCGCUAUAAGACCGAGAAUGAGACCAAGACCAGAACAACUCAAGGAUCAAGAUUCAGACCGGGUCUGUAAUCAGAUCUAGAAGUGCUCCAGGACUGCUCCAAACUGAGCCUGACACCAGGACCAGGAUGGAGACCGAAACCAGGAGCGCUUGUUCACUGUGGGGAGUUUUGGCUGCGCCCCCACAGAGGACUGGGCAAGACUGGGAGGAAACCCUGGGUAGGGCGGGACCGCCUCAGGUUUGCAUCAUUCUGCUGCAGCCAUUCCAGUCCAUAUGGUCCCAGUUUGUACAAUUCCAGUCCGUGUGAUCCCAGUUGGUACAAUCCCAGUCUGCAUGGCCCUGAUCCAUCUGCUCCCAGCCUGUGCAGUCCCAGUCUGGAGGAUCCCAGUCCAUGUCAUACCAACCCCCAUGAUCCCAGUCUGCACGGUCCUGCAUGACUCACACUGCCAGGCUCUGGAAUUCCAGUUCCCAGCCAGGAAAAGAUGUUCUUGCCCUUCAAGGAAAAGCUCUUCAGAAGGGGCCAAAAGCCAAACGCAGCAAGAUCUUACAAGGAAAUUUCACUGCCUGCCUUCAGAACUUCACCCAUGGUUGUUGCAGCUCCAGCACUGGGAAAUGAAUCAGGGCAGGGUCUUUGGUGGGAGCUGCCCUGGGUCAAGGGAGACCCUGAGAGAGAAACAGAGCAGGCAGAGAGAGGCAGGAGAGGAAGGAGGCCACAAAGACAACCACUGAGAAGGUGCCACUGAAAAUAGAACUGGAACUGACUGAAAGAGAAUGGGACAGGAAUCAGCAAUUGUCAAAGUUUUAUUAUCAAAUCCAUCCUACCCAGCCAGCCCCACACAAUCCCGAUCCCACUGCUCCAAAUUUGGAUCCCACUUCUCCCAAUCUCCUUCCAACCCCUUCUCACCCUGGAGGCUCUGGAAUCCGGUAAGGUACGUGUGGUAUUGAGUUGUUUUGAGGAGGGAACAAGGAACCUUGAAGUUGGAUUGAUCCCUUUGAAGUUAAAAUUGAGGUGUUUUCAGUGGGAUUUGAGAGGUUUUGAGGUGACAGAUCGAUCCCUCUUGGCGUUUGGAGAACAAAGAGAUGGAGAAGAGAGAGAAACGGAAGGCCAACACAAAAGGAUAACCAGGGCAUUGCUGCACCGGGUGGGAUCGGAUAAACUCAACACAUCAACACACUGGGAGCAGCUGGAAUGCUCAAAGGCCAUCAACGGCCAUUAACAGAACAUCAGUGGCCUCCAAGGAACAUCCACCUCAGAUUCUGCCUCUGGCAUGGCUGCAGACAUCUCCUCUGAAACGACUGAUAAAAUCUGGGAAGGAAGAUCUAAUUAACAUCAGAAGGGGAGAAAUAGGAAUCCAAAAGGAGAGCAAAUAUUAGGAAUUGAAUAUUUGAAACUUGAGACCAAAGAACACCAACCCAAUUCAUUUCUAUGGGUACUGACUCCAUAAAAUAUCUGGAAAAUCUCCUUAAAACGGAGUGUCAUGGAAUGAUUCUCUCUGCACAAACGGGUUCUGUGUGGAUGAGGUUUCUGUGCUACAUCCUGGCCACAACAUCCUGCCCAGAUAAUAAAACAACGCCUAAACUUUCUAAAUUUU